GCCAACAUGGCAUAGUGGUUUGAGCAUUGGAUUAGGACUCUGGAGAAUAGGGUUCAAAUCCCACUGGGUG